CCUACGCUUCAUCAAUCUACUCUGCAAUUUAAUUUUCUUAAAUGGUUUCGUUCCACUUCCCCUCUUCGUCCUUCUAUAUAAAGUGUUCAAUCUGAUCUUCAGUGCACCCUAAUCGAAAACAUUAGGUGUUCGAUUACUGUAUCCAGGAUCUCCUGUUCAUUGAUGAAGAGGAAAAAAAUAUAACAAUGAAAGUAAGAUCGUACGGAGAUUUAGAACCUCCGCUGCAGCUGAAGAAAUCAUAAGCCGGUUCACUUUUUUAACACAGCUCCUCAACAAUGGGAACUUUGUAGACGCUGCUUCUGGUAAGACGUUGCCUACUCUUGAUCCACGCAUAGGGGGAGUUAUUGCGAACAUAGCUGAAAGUCGAUGCUGAAGAUAUAGACCGGGCGGUGAAAGCCACAAGCCUGCAAGGAAGGCCAUUGAUGAAGGACCAUGGCAAAAGAUAAUUGCUUAUGAACAGCGAAAAUAUAGAGACAUGGGACGAUGGGAAGACUUAUGAACAAGCCAAAACAGCAGAGAUUCCAAUGCUCGCCAGAUUCUUUCGCUAUUAUGCUGGUAUACCAAAAUCUUGAGAAUACUAUCAAAUUUUCAUGCUUUUGUUGGUAAGUUUUGGUUUGAUGUGUAGGAUGGCCAGAUAAGAUUUGUGGGCUAACUAUUCCAGCCGACGGAAACAAUCAUGUCCAGACACUGCAUGAACCAAUAGGCAUUGCUGGUCAGACCAUUCCAUGGAACUUUCCACUUCUGAUGUUUCUUUGGAAAGUUGUUCCUACUCUUGCUUGUGGUAACACCAUUGUCCUCAAAAAGCUGAACAAACUCAAGCUUUUCUUUGAAGCAUGUCUUUCUCAAACAACACCUCCUGUUCUGUGGGUUGUAGUGAGGUGGAACCAUCCAUAAAGCUACUGUUGCAUACCUACUAUUGGACUCGCAUCUUAUAAGCUCAAAGUAUCUUUGUGGAACCAAAACAGAGCUCAAGAGUGCCACAAGCUCUCUUCUUUGCAACAAGCUGCAAAUAAAUGGCUUGAGCGUCUGCAAGUCGACCAGCCGGACUACAAUUUCUUCAUCUGCAGCAUCCCGCCAAUGAGGGGAAAACAUAUAAUUUACCUUCAAUUUGGCUCUGGUCUGAACAAAAGACCCAUUAUCUGCUAUUCUACUUUACAUAUUGCUUACACUGAAGGGAUUUGAGGAGCACAUUGUGAAGGUUGCGUAUGGUGCCGUAACAUUGAGAUGCAACACUUUUUGUGCUGGCAUUGAAAAGAACAACACCUGCUCAUGAAUGGCCUGGACAUAGUUCUGUGAUGGCUGAAGGACAAACAGGCCCACCAAUGAGCCAAUAGAGCCACCUGUUUCUGCUGGUUACAAUGGAGAUGAAGAUCUGUCACUGUAGUGGAAGGGCGCUCUGCCAAGAAUACUCGCACCGACUAAGUGUUAGCACCCGGUUUGAUUGGGACUCUUAACUGUCUUCCAAGAUUCGACACCAAGCUUGCAAACUCCGACAUCAAUGGCCUUCCACAAAGCUUGGAUCUCUCGCUAUUGCAGUGGGUGCAUAUGAUGUAGGGAAACUGAAUUUGGAGCUUGAGGUUCGAAUGAUAAGUGUCUUCAUUCAGCUUGGUUUUGAGGACCAAUCAGACACUGACAUACUUCUGUGCAAGGUCUUCAUCAAGAUAUCCAUAGGAUAGGAAUGACAAAGAAGGACAAAAGAAUCUGAAGUUUGGCAGUAUAAUCCAAGAUGCUGUAAAGGAUCUUUCUGAUGUUGUUCUUUUUUUUUUCUAUUAAUUUGUUAGCCAGAUAAUUUCGUGCGUAUGUCGUAUGAUGAUAACAUUUA